rnacentral:snRNA from 1 species
GUGCUUGUUUCAGCAGCACAUAUACUAAAAUUAGAACUAUGGCAGUAGCAUGGCCCUAUUCAAGGAUGACAUGCACAUGCUUGAAGCUUUACCUUUUACA